rnacentral:rRNA from 1 species
UACGUAGGUGGCAAGCGUUGUCCGGAUUUACUGGGCGUAAAGGGCGUGCAGGCGGUUUGUUAAGUGCAGGGUGAAAGCUCCCGGCUCAACUGGGAGAGGUCCUUGCAUACUGGCAGACUUGAGGGAGGCAGAGGAAAGUGGAAUUCCCGGUGUAGUGGUGAUAUGCGUAGAUAUCGGGAGGAACACCUGUGGCGAAGGCGGCUUUCUGGGCCUUACCUGACGCUGAGGAGCGAAAGCCAGGGGAGCAAACGGG